CAUGCACUGGUGGGGUCCCUCAGCCUGGCCUGUGCCCUCUCACAAUCCAGGACCCCUUGGGGGAUGUUGGAUAGUUGGUUUCAGCCGAUCUCUGCAGGCCUGGCCGAGGGACCCCACCAGUGCACG
rnacentral:pre_miRNA from 1 species